GAUGCUGCAAAACAACGCCACCCUUCAUCACCCUUCGUCACCCUUUUUUCGUCCCCCACCACCGGAUCCAAAUAAUAAUAAUUGCAUUUUCAACAUUUGUGACUUUCAUUUUUCACAAGCGUGAUCUCGACCGAGACAAGGCAGACAAGGGACGAACCAUGUACAUCUACCCGCUAAGAAUAGAAUCUCGAUCCUCCUCUUCUACGAUAUCGCGUAUGCUAAUUUCAUUUUAAAAUUUAAAACUCGUAUUAUAUUUCCGUGACAUGUCUUUCUUUAUAAAUAAAUAAUAACAAAUUGCCCGUCAUAUUUACGACGUGGAACGACGAGAAACAAUUCUCUACCUUUUCCUAUAUUCCUGUCGAGGACAUGCAAGCAAAUCUCACGAAUAAAGAUAUACUAUUUUUAGCGGGUAAGAGUGAAAAUAUUAGGAGAAUAUCAACGAUUUUUCCAGAAACCUGAUUUCUAUCCAUCUCCGGACUGGAGGAUCCGUUUCUCAAACUUUUUCGUGUAUUUCUUUUAUAUUUAACGCUCGUCGAUUAUUCCUUAUAUUUCUUUACGCUUUACACAACAUUCUUCUCCUCUUUUACAUAGUAAAACAAACAAACGAUCGUAAACGUGAUUUGCAACGCGAAAAUUACGGUGCACACACAUUUCCUCGGAUGAAAAGCGUAAUAUUUUUUUUCCCUUCCUUUUCAAAAUUCGAAACAAUCCGCGGGAUUCGAUGAUACAAAUUUAUCAUCGAAUAAUUAUUUCACAGCAAGAGAUCGACACGCGUAAUUUCAUCCGAGUAGAAAAUAUUUCGUAUCAUCGCUUACAUACGAGUUACAUAACAUCGUGCUUCAUUCGGUGUGUCGAUCGUGAUUUCAUUCUCCAAACUUAACCCUUCGCGCUCGUUACAUUUAUAUUCGAUCUGCCCCCUCUCAACUCACGCACAACUGAUAUACACACGUAUAAUAAAAUAAUAAAUAAUAAAACGUAGGAUGGCACGAGUGCAAAGGGUUAAAUUGUACAUAAAUCUAUACCUAUAAUUAAUUGCACCAAGGAUUGUAGAGUAAGAAGCGUUCUCAAGCGUUUUUUUUCCCCCCUCACAGUGUGUCAAAAAAGCUGCGGUGUGUCAAAACCGUUGCGCGUGCGUUUUCCUUUUCGAUUCGUUCGAUCCGUGUCCACACGUUGUGAUGUACCUGCGUGCGGAAGGAUCGGUUUGCCAAACGUGCCAAAGUGCUCGUCCCUCGAUUGCGAUUGAACGAUACGUGGAAUCGAAGCAUCGUGCACAGAUUAAUUCCAAGCGGAUCAAAAACGUGUAUUAUUUGCGAUAAAAGAACGAUCGAAGGUAGGGAGAGUAGAAACAAUAUCCUGCAAUUAUUCUUUUGACAAACUUACGAUUAUUAGCAUUGUUAGAACUUUUUAAAACUCCUCGGUAAACUUUCUAAUAAAACUUCUUACGAACGAAGAAACGAGAUCGACGAUGAGUCGAAGCGUUUCGUUUCGUUCAUAUAGUAGCGAGUAAAGUUGAAAGAUUCGAGAUAAUUUUUAUGUGUUGUCAAACGAUACGAAUCGAAGGAGAUUCGAGAGAGAGAGAGAGAGACGAUAAUUGGUCGUGUUAUUUAUUUAAUCGUUAUUUUAUUCGGUACAUCCCGAUCUCCUCUCUACCAGAGAUUUGGGUCAGGAAGCUAUUACCCUCCCCUCUGCGCUAACUUCGAGACGAGAUAUAUUUAGCCGUCGUUCUUCCAAUCUUCUUUCGUAUAAACGUCGCAUCACCAACACACGUACGCGAACUUUUCAUCACCUAACCUCCCUCUUGACAUCUCUCCCCUCGUAUCGAAACGCUACAUCCACGAGCGGACAACAUCGAUACGAACGGGCUCGAAACUUUCUCUCGUUCGUCUCGUAUUCGAUUAAUUCGAAACAAAAGAGAUGAAAUAAUUCGGGAAUAAAAAAAAAACGAACGGAGGAAUCGGUCGAAAUGAUAUCAUCGAAGCGGUAUCAAGCGAUAUUACGAAGGUGGCGCUACUUGUCGUGCGAUCGAACUGGAGGAUCGGUCGAAAUAAGUCGAGCGUGGUCUCGUGCCGAGUGGACGUUUCUCCAUUUCCUUUGCACGUAACGAACCGACUGUUCCCCACUUUCCAAAACCUUUUUUACUCGUAAUAAACGUGUACACGUACGACGAAUCGACACGUAUCGAUCGAUCGAUCGAAGGAAUAAAGGGGAGAGGUGAUGGAUCGUUGAGGUUCUCUUCUCUCUCUUUUAAAGGAAUUUUUAAAGGAGAUGGAUAAAAGGACGGGGCGUUUUUGUAUCAAACGAUCGUCGACGAGCGCAAAUCAAGGUUGAGAGGAGCGAGCGCGAAAGCAAGAACCUUUUUCUGUAUAUGCACAACAUACACGGUUGCCACACGAAAGAUUUCGCGUCACGUUCGAAUUUUAGAUGAGAAUUUUAGGAAGAGAAUCGAGAGACGCGACGUUCCUCCAAAUUGUCCCGCGAAUAUUUUCUUCCGGUUGAAAAGAGUAAUAGUUGGUAAAAUUUUGGAAAGAGAGAAAGAAAAAGAAAAACACGUUCGAUGUAUUUUUCAGAAAUCCGUAUACACGGUUUGAGAAAGAAAAUUUUCCCCCGUAUCGUGAAAUUUGACUCUACAUCUCUCUUAUACUGUUUCUCGAAACGAUAUUUUUACGAACGCGAUGAAUAAAAGAGAGAGAGAGAGAGAGAGAGAGAAAAUAUUUUUAAGAGUCGGAAAUCCAUUUAUACGUACGAAGAAAGGAUGGAAACGAGAUGGAAAGGAGAUGAAGAAUUAAUGAAAAUUCACGGAAGCGUAAGUAAGUAAAUUUGUAACGAUAACGACUUUUUCCUCCAUUCGCGAUAAACUUUUAAUCUUUUCCCUCGAGUCGAAGAACAUUUGCUUUCUUUCUGCGUUCGACAAUUUUAUUUCUAUUCUUUUCUCUCUCUCUCUCUUUUCUUCUGCAAGAAUUCGCGUUUUAAUCGAAAAUAAUUUUUUUUUUAAAAUUGCUUCAUAGCAAUGGAAAAAUAUCGGAAAAAUAAUAUUUCGGCUUGCCAACCUCAAAGCGAAUGCAAAUUUUUCUAUAUUGGACGAUGUACGAGAUAUCGUACGUGUAAAUUAUUACAAGCCGUUCCCUUCGAAAUCGCCGCGGUUAUAUAUUCGGAAUCAUUUUUCAUCGCGAGAAGAGUCGAAUCGGAAAAACCGUCAAAGCGAAUUUACAUUCGAUGAAAAAUAAUAUACGUGCACUGGCGAAGAAAGAAAUCAUUUAUAUAUAAAAAGGUAACGAGAGUAGCGUUUAGGCGGUUACAAAUUGCAUGCAUCGCAAAAAGCGUUUGAUCCAAAAGCGUUUCUACGUUCGUACGUGAGAUAUGCGCGCGAAAUAAUACUCGAAAGCUGACCGCAAAACACAAACUUUUACCACGUAUCCAACCAUGUAUCGAAAUGUAAUCCUGCGACAAACUAUUCUUUCAACGAACCGUCGUAAUUUUCCAUUUUACUUCUCUUCUUCCACUUACCUGAUCUUUCUCAUCAAUUACAUCGAAACGAUAUCUCGAUAACGCGAUUCGUUAGAAAUUUCAGACACGCCAUUUCUCUCCCAUAUCGCCCAUGUUUUACUUUAAUUCGUUUGGAUUCGUUUCUUCCCUUACAAACAAUCGUGAAAGCGAUGAAAGUUGGCAAGCCUGAAAAAUUUCCCCGAUCACCUCGAUUCUUGGUUUCCGCUCUUUUCUUAUCUCGAGGAGAAUCGUUGUCGUGUAUAUAUAUAUAUACAUACAAUUUUUACGUAUCGAUUUUCGUCGUACUUGGUCCGUGAAAGGUAUUCGCGUCGUCUCGAUCGAAAAUCAACGAAUAAGAAUUUCGAUACGAUCGCUGCAAAUCCGAAUCACCUCGUCGGUCGAUUCUUAAUCGGAGACAAAAACUCGAUUAUACUCGAUGUAUCCUCGUGUUCGAAGAUCGCGAAAAGUGGAGUCAGUCGGGCGGAAUAAAGAGGCGCGUGAAGCACACAUCGUAAAAGCAGAACACGAAAGGCAUAUCGUGACAGUAGUUGAGAAGAGAAAACGAGAAAGAGAGAGACAGCUGAAUAAGGAUACGUGAAGAAGACGAAGAAGAAGAAGAAGAAGUGGAAAGAGGAUGUAACGGUAGUAAUAGUAAAGAAGAAGAAGAAGAAGAAGAAGAAGAAGAGGCAAUAGUAGAAAUAGAGAUUGUUAGCAAGUACCGAUGGUCACGCGAUGUCGGCCCUGUGGAGUAGAGCGAAUUGGCAGCCGCAGUCCCGGGGCUCUCGAGCUCUCCUCGGGUACUGAAAGCACUGCUCCAACACGCAACAGCCCCCGCCCCCACACUGCAUCACCAUAUCCGACAAUGUGGUCAUUACCUUCGAGAUUUUAUGCGGGCGAUACGUUCGGUGGCCCGUCAUUUUUCGAUUAUUCGUUACCGGAACGCAACAGACACGACCACACGGUUGGCAGAGGCACAAACAGAUCGAUUCCAUUAGAAUUCGUGCUCCGACCAUCGAUCCACCAAUUACGCUAGAGACUCCAGUAUCCUCCCAGUAUUAUAUACCCAAUAAUACCUAAUACACCUUCUAUUAUCCCUAUGUUUUCUCACCCGCGCACAACGUUUCGCAUAGCAAUGUUUGCGUAUAUACGACUUGGAUAUUUACAACGCAAAUACAACGUAAAUACGACGUAUUUAGAUGUAAUAAAUGGCGAGCAAACGAAAACGCGUUUAGUUUCAACCAGUUUGAAGAGAGAUACAAAAAGUAGUUAAAGAUCUCCAAGGUGAAACGAACGUAGCAAAAAAUUAGCGAUUCUACGCAGCUGCCUGCGUAAUAAAAAAAUUUACGCGACUUAGCGGCAAUAAAGAUACGGGACGGGCUUGGACGUGGAAAGAAACUGUCGAUUUUGUUCGUUUCUUCUCGAGUAAACGAAGUUCAACGCGAAAAAAAGUAAUCGUUCUACUCGUUCGAAAAUUUCCGUUAUCCGUUAGCUCGGAUACGGGAGUCUCUACUGUAACGUUUGUCUACAACGUCUAUCGCCGCCGAUAAAAAUCCGAAAUUUUCACGCGCGAUUCCUUUCGAUCGAUCUCGACAAAAAAAUAGAAAUAACGAUAAAUUUUCCAUCGAAUUUCGGAUUUUGUUAUCGCGAAAAAGUGGAUCUUUCGCGUUCGAUGGAUUGAUUCUUCUCGUUGCGAUACAAAAAUUCUUUCCUCCACGUUUUUAAUUCCACGAGUUUCAAAUUCACAUUGACAAUUUCGUAUCCUGUCCUUCCACGCCGUGUCGAUUACAUCCUUUCUCGGACACCAACCAUUCCGUCUAUCCGAAUUUCCACCGACCUAAAUUUCCACCGUGGCCAGAUACCACCGAUGACCAUUGGACCCGAUAGCGGAAAUUGCCGUGGCCGCUGCUGUUCCGCCAAAAUCUAUAUAUCGAUCGAUAAUAAUUUUCCAUCCAGAAUUUACGAUUAGAUUCGAUUUUUCUUUCCCAUUUAUCAACGGAUCGAAAAAUUACGUAAAAUUUUUCCCCUCGAUCGCGUAAGUGUUUGCUCGCUCGUGACACGCGACGCGUUAUAUAUCGGAUAUAUAAAUUAUGAAUUUAAUCGAUCAAUCGAGGGGGGGCAAAGCAGCCUCGAGUUUUCGAUAUUUACAUUUACAUAGAAAAACUAGUCGAAACGAACGUAGGACGUAUGGAAAAUUUACGAGAUCGUAUCCCUCGUAGCCCGAAAUGAAAGUUUUAGACGUAGACAAAUGGGCCACCCCGUUCGAUAUACGUCUUUUUUGAUAUACGUAUAGCCUUCGGUGACGAUCCUUCCGUUGCUACGUACGCCCGGAUUAAACUCCACCGGAAUCUGAUUAAAUCGAUAUCUUUCGCCCGAUGUCGAAUACGAAUAUUUCACACCGCAUUUACAUUUCCUCGAACCAACGAAAUAAUAUUUCAUUCCCCCGAUAUUUUAUCCUUCUCGUAAUUAUUAUUUCUCGAAAAUUGCUCGAAAAUUGAAAUGCGCGUCGAGGAAAGAGAGAUUUCACCCCAAUUUUGAUUCCAUAAAGUUUAUAUUUUUGUCUCUCUCGAUUAUCGUUGGUCGCGUUCGAACGGUAUCUACGAUCGAAAUUAUAAAUCGUUCGGAGGCGAUUAGAAAGAGAUUAAAAAAAAAAAAAAAAAAAA